rnacentral:rRNA from 1 species
UACAGAGGGUGCAAGCGUUGCUCGGAAUCAUUGGGCGUAAAGGGCAAGUAGGUGGUCUCAUUUGUCUUGUGUGAAAUCCUUGGGCUUAACCCAAGAAGUGCGCAAGAAACGGUGAGACUCGAGUUCUGGAGAGGGUCGUGGAAUUCCCGGUGUAGCGGUGAAAUGCGUAGAGAUCGGGAGGAACACCAGAGGCGAAGGCGGCGACCUGGACAGACACUGACACUCAACUGCGAAAGCGUGGGGAGCAAACAGG